rnacentral:hammerhead_ribozyme from 1 species
AGCUAGCUGACGAGUUCCAAAUAGGACGAAAUGCGCAUCCUGACUGGAU